rnacentral:rRNA from 1 species
UAAUAUCAAUAAAGCGGAGGAAAAGAUUACCAACAGGGAUUGCCGUAGUAACGGCGAGUGAACAGGCAAGAGCUCAGAUUUGAAAGGCACUUUUGUGCCGUUGUAUUCUGAAGUUAGGGUCCUGAGAAACGAUGCUUAAGUCUUCUGGAAAGGAGCGCCAUGGAGGGUGAUAGCCCCGUCUAGCAUUGACCUCAUAUAGGAUCUUAACAUGGAGUCGAGUUGUUUGGGAAUGCAGCUCAAAUGGGUGGUAUGCUCCAUCUAAAGCUAAAUAUCUGCGAGAGACCGAUAGUAAACAAGUACUGUGAGGGAAAGAUGAAAAGAACUUUGAAAAGAGAGUGAAAAAGUACGUGAAAUUGUUGAAAUGGAAGGGUAGGCCGCUAACCAUGUAGAGCCGUGUUUGGGGGGAAGAUAAAUGCUGUAGAAUGUAGCUCCUCGGAGUAUUAUAGAUGCAGUUCAUAUUCCCACCCGAGUCGGCGAGGAUCUCAGGUUCUAGCUAAAUGGUGGUAUCACCUU